UAGCGGGGGGGAGGGGCGCUUUUGCACUCGCACGCUGUACACGGUGUUGCCGCGCGUUUUGCCACGUGUGCAACUGGCGGUGACGCAGCGCCGCGCACGUCAGCUCGCGUGCGGAGCAGGCGCCAUUCGGCCCGGCGAAAAAGGCCGGGUAGAAAUGGCCUGGCGGCAUCUGCUGCUCUGAGAGCGCCAAGGAAUGAAAGAAGCUAAAAGUGUGACAAGGAUGUCGGCACCCUGACUUCAGGGUACUGGAUGAACAAAGACAGGGCCCUGGCCUGGGAGCUUCCAGUGUCUGGUUCUGUUUGAAGAGAAGAAAUCCAGGCAUCCCUGCAAAGAGGCACCCUUCUCAGAGGGCAGGGGACGGGCACAGAACUGCCGGAAGCGGAUGCCAAGUUACAAAGCAAUGCAACCCAGACCGAAAAGCCAUCUGAAAACAAACAGAUUGCUUGCCCGGCGUCAUUUGUGCCUAUGCUGAAUUAUUUUGCUUGGUGUGAAAGCUUUUUAUCAGACCUCACCGGCGGCAGCAGUAGCAGCAGAGGCAGUGGAGGGGGCAGCAGUGGCUGAUCUCCCGAAGGUAAGUGGGACAGAGGGAGCCAGCACAGCUGACGCAGAUCUGGAGGGGAAGCCCCCUUCACUCCC
rnacentral:lncRNA from 1 species